UACGUAGGUGGCAAGCGUUGUCCGGAAUUACUGGGUGUAAAGCGCGUGUAGGCGGCAGACCAAGUCGGCGGUGAAAGCGCCCGGCUCAACUGGGCGAGGUCCGUGGAAACUGGUCAGCUGGAGGACGGUAGAGGCGAGUGGAAUUCCCGGUGUAGUGGUGAAAUGCGCAGAUAUCGGGAAGAACACCCGUGGCGAAGGCGGCUCUCUGGGACGGUACUGACGCUGAGACGCGAAAGCGUGGGGAGCGAACAGG
rnacentral:rRNA from 1 species